GAUUGGGGAAAUUGUGGCUGAUGAUUCUGAGGACGAUGAUUCCGAUGGAGUCGUGAUUGAUGUGGAGAACCAGAAUGCUGAUAGAACAGAAGCUUCCGACAGUACGGCGAUGGAGACAAAUUUGGCACCAUGUUUCGUCGAUGGAGUAACUCUCACCACAGUGAGGAAGAUGACUCGCUGCAGUUUGAAUCUAAGAUCAUGGGCAUCGGAGGCAAAGUCGGCAGGAAUUACAGCGGGAGUGAUUCGA